UCAUCAGACCGUGUCUGCUUUCUCAG
rnacentral:misc_RNA from 1 species